GGCGGCGUACCCAAGUGGACUAAGGGGACGGAUUGCAAAUCCGUUAUACAUGGGUUCGAAUCCCAUCGCCGCCU
rnacentral:tRNA from 1 species